ensembl:lncRNA
AUCUUGCUUCAGAUUCCUGGGUACCUGAGGCCUCCUGAAGAACAGCCAGCUCUUCUAAGAAGUCAACAUCUGUAUGAAUUUCUCAAGUUUCUCAACUGUAUGAGAAAUGAGGCAGUGACAACUUGUGAGUGCAUUCAGAAAAAACAGAUUUAACUUACUUAUGUAUGAGCGUGAAGGGAGAGCAGUGGAGAGAAACCAAAAGCUAAAGCUUGGCAAGAGAAGUGGCCUUAGUACAACUCUGGCAGGUAUCAGUAGUAUACACUGCUGUACAUAUGCCAAGAAAUCUGUGAGUGAACCUGUCCUGGAGAUGUGCACUGUGGGCUUUCCAUGAACCCUCACAUUUCAUACCCCACUACUGGGACUGCCUGCCAGGAAUGUGCCCCUUGCCCUCGCUGAAGGAGAGAAUCCGUUUGCAGAUUCAUCCCUCUCACCCCAGAUCAUCUGGAACAGCUUUCUGGAACAGGUGCAUGCCAUCAGCAUCCUAUAGGGCCUAUCUGUAUCUGUCCAAAUGUUCUGGCAGGAGACAAUAGCCAAUGUUGAUUUGCUGCUGUUUGGGAUGAGGAAAGAAAACUGAUGUGGUUAGCAAACUGUUAACAAGCUGUUAGCAAACGAAUCUUUUUUUUCUUUGUUAAAUGUAAGCAUGCACCAUAUUCUUUCUCUUAAACUGCAUUAUUUUAGGUUUGAAAUGGAAAAAGAAAUAAAAACUCAUU